rnacentral:rRNA from 1 species
UACGGAGGGUGCGGGCGUUGUUCGGAAUUACUGGGCGUAAAGCGCGCGUAGGCGGUUUGCUAAGUCAGAUGUGAAAGCCCUCGGCUUAACCGGGGACGUGCAUUUGAAACUGGCAGACUUGAGUACUGGAGGGGGUGGUGGAAUUCCCGGUGUAGAGGUGAAAUUCGUAGAUAUCGGGAGGAAUACCGGUGGCGAAGGCGACCACCUGGCCAGAUACUGACGCUGAGGUGCGAAAGCGUGGGGAGCAAACAGG